rnacentral:rRNA from 1 species
UACGGGGGGGGCAAGCGUUGUUCGGAAUUACUGGGCGUAAAGGGUUCGUAGGUGGCCAACUAAGUCAAACGUGAAAUCCCUCAGCUUAACUGGGGAACUGCGUCUGAUACUGGUUGGCUUGAGUGCAGGAGAGGAACGCGGAAUUCCAGGUGUAGCGGUGAAAUGCGCAGAUAUCGGGAGGAACACCAGUAGCGAAGGCGGUUCUCUGGGCCGGCACUGACGCUGAGGAGCGAAAGCGUGGGGAGCAAACAGG